rnacentral:rRNA from 1 species
GAUGAACGCUGGCGGCGUGCCUAAUACAUGCAAGUCGAGCGAACAGAUGAGGAGCUUGCUCCUCUGACGUUAGCGGCGGACGGGUGAGUAACACGUGGAUAACCUACCUAUAAGACUGGGAUAACUUCGGGAAACCGGAGCUAAUACCGGAUAAUAUAUUGAACCGCAUGGUUCAAUAGUGAAAGACGGUUUUGCUGUCACUUAUAGAUGGAUCCGCGCCGCAUUAGCUAGUUGGUAAGGUAACGGCUUACCAAGGCAACGAUGCGUAGCCGACCUGAGAGGGUGAUCGGCAACAAUGGAACUGAGACACGGUCCAGACUCCUACGGGAGGCAGCAGUAGGGAAUCUUCCGCAAUGGGCGAAAGCCUGACGGAGCAACGCCGCGUGAGUGAUGAAGGUCUUCGGAUCGUAAAACUCUGUUAUUAGGGAAGAACAAAUGUGUAAGUAACUAUGCACGUCUUGACGGUACCUAAUCAGAAAGCCACGGCUAACUACGUG